UACGGAGGGUGCGAGCGUUAUCCGGAUUUAUUGGGUUUAAAGGGUGCGUAGGCGGACUGGUAAGUCAGCUGUGAAAUCUUCCGGCUCAACCGUGAAAUUGCAUUUGAUACUGUUGGUCUUGAGUACACUUGAGGUGGGCGGAAUUUGUGGUGUAGCGGUGAAAUGCUUAGAUAUGACAAAGAACACCAAUUGCGAAGGCAGCUCACUGGGGUAUAACUGACGCUGAUGCACGAAGGUGUGGGUAUCAAACAGG
rnacentral:rRNA from 1 species